AACCUGCCCAAGAGAUCGGGAUAACACCUGGAAACAGAUGCUAAUACCGGAUAACAAUAGAUGAUGCCUAUCAACUGUUUAAAAGAUGGUUCUGCUAUCACUCUUGGAUGGACCUGCGGUGCAUUAGCUAGUUGGUAGGGUAACGGCCUACCAAGGCGAUGAUGCAUAGCCGAGUUGAGAGACUGAUCGGCCACAUUGGGACUGAGACACGGCCCAAACUCCUACGGGAGGCAGCCAGAG
rnacentral:rRNA from 1 species